GAGUGAUUGCAGAUUCCGUGAAUCAUCGAGUCUUUGAACGCACAUUGCGCCCCCUGGUAUUCCGGGGGGCAUGCCUGUCCGAGCGUCAUUGCUGCCCAUCAAGCACGGCUUGUGUGUUGGGUCGUCGUCCCCUCUCCGGGGGGGACGGGCCCCAAAGGCAGCGGCGGCACCGCGUCCGAUCCUCGAGCGUAUGGGGCUUUGUCACCCGCUCUGUAGGCCCGGCCGGCGCUUGCCGAACGCAAAUCAAUCUUUUCCAGGUUGACCUCGGAUCAGGUAGGGAUACCCGCUGAACUUAAGCAUAUCAAUAAGCGGAGGA
rnacentral:rRNA from 1 species